rnacentral:rRNA from 1 species
GUUUGAUCCUGGCUCAGGAUGAACGCUAGCGGCAGGCCUAAUACAUGCAAGUCGAACGCCCAGCAAUGGGAGUGGCGCACGGGUGCGUAACGCAUAUGUAACCUACCUUAUUGAGGGGGAUAGCCCGGAGAAAUUCGGAUUAAUACCGCAUAAGAUGGAAGACUGGCAUCAGUUUUUCAUGAAAGAUUUAUUGCGAUAAGAUGGACAUGCGUCUGAUUAGUUAGUUGGUGAGGUAACGGCUCACCAAGACGAUGAUCAGUAGGGGUUCUGAGAGGAAGGUCCCCCACACUGGCACUGAGAUACGGGCCAGACUCCUACGGGAGGCAGCAGUAGGGAAUAUUGGGCAAUGGAGGGAACUCUGACCCAGCCAUGCCGCGUGCAGGACGAAGGAGCUAUGCUCUGUAAACUGCUUUAGCAGGGGAAGAAAAGGCGUCUGCGGACGAGAUUGACGGUACCCUGAGAAUAAGCACCGGCUAACUACGUGCCAGCAGCCGCGGUAAUACGUAGGGUGCAAGCGUUGUCCGGAUUUAUUGGGUUUAAAGGGUGCGUAGGCGGCUUUAUAAGUCAGUGUUUAAAGCACAUAGCUCAACUAUGGAACUGGCAUUGAUACUGUAGAGCUUGAGUAGAAACGGGGCAGGCGGAAUUUAUGGUGUAGCGGUGAAAUGCAUAGAUACCAUAAAGAACACCGAUAGCGAAGGCAGCUUGCCAGGAUCUAACUGACGCUGAGGCACGAAAGCGUGGGGAUCAAACAGGAUUAGAUACCCUGGUAGUCCACGCCGUAAACGAUGAU